rnacentral:rRNA from 1 species
GACGUAGGGCGCGAGCGUUGUCCGGAUUUAUUGGGCGUAAAGAGCUCGUAGGCGGCUUGUCGCGUCGACUGUGAAAUCCCGAGGCUCAACUUCGGGCUUGCAGUCGAUACGGGCAGGCUAGAGUUCGGUAGGGGAGACUGGAAUUCCUGGUGUAGCGGUGAAAUGCGCAGAUAUCAGGAGGAACACCGGUGGCGAAGGCGGGACUCUGGGCCGAUACUGACGCUGAGGAGCGAAAGCGUGGGGAGCGAACAGG